rnacentral:SRP_RNA from 1 species
GCCGGGCAUGGUGGCACAUGCCUGUAAUCCCAACUACUCAGGAGGCUGAGGCAGCAGAAUCGCUUGAACCCGGGAGGCAGAGGUUGCAGUGAGCUGAGAUUGCGCCACUGCACUCCAGCCUGGGUGACAGAGCGAGACUCUGUCUCAA